rnacentral:rRNA from 1 species
GGCUGAAAUUCGCCUUCAUGAAGUCGGAAUUGCUAGUAAUGGCAGGUCAGCAUACUGCCGUGAAUACGUUCCCGGGCCUUGUACACACCGCCCGUCACACCAUGAGAGUUGGAGAUACCCGAAGCCUAUGAGCUAACUUUUAGAGGCAGUAGUCGAAGGUAGAAUCAAUGAUUGGGGUGAAGUCGUAACAAGGUAUC